AAUGAACGCUGGCGGCAGGCCUAACACAUGCAAGUCGAACGGAUCCUUCGGGAUUAGUGGCGGACGGGUGGGUAACGCGUGGGAACAUACCCUUUGGUACGGAAUAGCCUCGGGAAACUGGGAGUAAUACCGUAUGUGGUCGAGAGACGAAAGAUUUAUCGCCAAAGGAUUGGCCCGCGUUGGAUUAGGUAGUUGGUGGGGUAAUGGCCUACCAAGCCGACGAUCCAUAGCUGGUUUGAGAGGAUGAUCAGCCACACUGGGACUGAGACACGGCCCAGACUCCUACGGGAGGCAGCAGUGGGGAAUCUUAGACAAUGGGGGAAACCCUGAUCUAGCCAUGCCGCGUGAUCGAUGAAGGCCUUAGGGUUGUAAAGAUCUUUCAGGUGGGAAGAUAAUGACUGUACCACCAGACGAAGCCCCGGCUAACUCCGUGCCAGCCGCCGCAGUAACAC
rnacentral:rRNA from 1 species